GCCACCGUGGUAUAGUGGUUUAAAUGUUGGACUGUGACUCUGGAGACCAGGGUUCAAAUGCCCACCCAGCCAUGGAA